rnacentral:rRNA from 1 species
CCAGCCUAACACAUGCCACUCGAGCGGAUGAUGGGAGCUUGCUCCCGGUAUUCAGCGGCGGACGGGUGAGUAAUGCCUAGGAAUCUGCCUGGUAGUGGGGGACAACGUUUCGAAAGGAACGCUACUACCCCCCCCGUCCUACGGGAGAAAGCAGGGGACCUUCGGGCCUUGCGCUAUCAGAUGAGCCUAGGUCGGAUUAGCUUGUUGGUGAGGUAAUGGCUCACCAAGGCGACGAUCCGUAACUGGUCUGAGAGGAUGAUCAGUCACACUGGAACUGAGACACGGUCCAGACUCCUACGGGAGGCAGCAGUGGGGAAUAUUGGACAAUGGGCGAAAGCCUGAUCCAGCCAUGCCGCGUGUGUGAAGAAGGUCUUCGGAUUGUAAAGCACUUUAAGUUGGGAGGAAGGGUUGUAGAUUAAUACUCUGCAAUUUUGACGUUACCGACAGAAUAAGCCCCGGCUAACUCUGUGCCAGCAGCCGCGGUAAU